rnacentral:rRNA from 1 species
UACGUAGGGGGCGAGCGUUGUCCGGAAUCAUUGGGCGUAAAGCGCGUGUAGGCGGUUUGUCGCGUCUGCCGUGAAAGUCCGGGGCUCAACUCCGGAUCUGCGGUGGGUACGGGCAGACUAGAGUGAUGUAGGGGAGACUGGAAUUCCUGGUGUAGCGGUGAAAUGCGCAGAUAUCAGGAGGAACACCGAUGGCGAAGGCAGGUCUCUGGGCAUUAACUGACGCUGAGGAGCGAAAGCAUGGGGAGCGAACAGG